UACGAAGGUGGCAAGCGUUGUUCGGAUUUACUGGGCGUACAGGGAGCGUAGGCGGUUGGGUAAGCCCUUCGUGAAAUCUCCGGGCCUAACCCGGAAAGUGCGGAGGGGACUGCUCGGCUAGAGGAUGGGAGAGGAGCGCGGAAUUCCCGGUGUAGCGGUGAAAUGCGUAGAGAUCGGGAGGAAGGCCGGUGGCGAAGGCGGUUCUCUGGGACGGUACGUGACGCUGAGACGCGAAAGCGUGGGGAGCGAACAGG
rnacentral:rRNA from 1 species